rnacentral:rRNA from 1 species
UGGGGAAUUUUGGACAAUGGGCGAAAGCCUGAUCCAGCAAUGCCGCGUGUGUGAAGAAGGCCUUCGGGUUGUAAAGCACUUUUGUCCGGAAAGAAAUCCUUGGCUCUAAUACAGUCGGGGGAUGACGGUACCGGAAGAAUAAGCACCGGCUAACUACGUGCCAGCAGCCGCGGCAAUACGUAGGGUGCAAGCGUUAAUCGGAAUUACUGGGCGUAAAGCGUGCGCAGGCGGUUUGCUAAGACCGAUGUGAAAUCCCCGGGCUCAACCUGGGAACUGCAUUGGUGACUGGCAGGCUAGAGUAUGGCAGAGGGGGGUUAGAAUUCCACGUGUAGCAGUGAAAUGCGUAGAGAUGUGGAGGAAUACCGAUGGCGAAGGCAGCCCCCUGGGCCAAUACUGACGCUCAUGCACGAAAGCGUGGGGAGCAAACAGGAUUAGAUACCCUGGUAGUCCACGCCCUAAANGAUG